rnacentral:rRNA from 2 species
AGUUUGAAUCAUGGCUCAGGACGAACGCNGGCGGCGUGCCUAAUACAUGCAAGUCGAACGAACUCUGGUAUUGAUUGGUGCUUGCAUCAUGAUUUACAUUUGAGUGAGUGGCGAACUGGUGAGUAACACGUGGGAAACCUGCCCAGAAGCGGGGGAUAACACCUGGAAACAGAUGCUAAUACCGCAUAACAACUUGGACCGCAUGGUCCGAGUUUGAAAGAUGGCUUCGGCUAUCACUUUUGGAUGGUCCCGCGGCGUAUUAGCUAGAUGGUGGGGUAACGGCUCACCAUGGCAAUGAUACGUAGCCGACCUGAGAGGGUAAUCGGCCACAUUGGGACUGAGACACGGCCCAAACUCCUACGGGAGGCAGCAGUAGGGAAUCUUCCACAAUGGACGAAAGUCUGAUGGAGCAACGCCGCGUGAGUGAAGAAGGGUUUCGGCUCGUAAAACUCUGUUGUUAAAGAAGAACAUAUCUGAGAGUAACUGUUCAGGUAUUGACGGUAUUUAACCAGAAAGCCACGGCUAACUACGUGCCAGCAGCCGCGGUAAUACGUAGGUGGCAAGCGUUGUCCGGAUUUAUUGGGCGUAAAGCGAGCGCAGGCGGUUUUUUAAGUCUGAUGUGAAAGCCUUCGGCUCAACCGAAGAAGUGCAUCGGAAACUGGGAAACUUGAGUGCAGAAGAGGACAGUGGAACUCCAUGUGUAGCGGUGAAAUGCGUAGAUAUAUGGAAGAACACCAGUGGCGAAGGCGGCUGUCUGGUCUGUAACUGACGCUGNGCUCG